GUGUGCUUCAGAAGUUCGACUUGUAUGAUAAUAAACACCUCCAAUUAAUGUGGAACAAUAGACAUCAAUAGGUGCCUGUUUAUUUUCGAGAUACAUUCUGUUGGAAUAAAUACCGCAAUGAAAAUUUGAUUGUGAUUAAAAAUCUAACUAAUUUGUAAUAAAGAUAAAAUUGAACUUACAGAUAAACGCAAAUAUUCUAAUAAAAAUUUGAUCUUAUCCGGAAGCAUGCGAGGCACUGUCCUAAGGCUUAUUCCCGUCCUUCGUGCAGGAUUAACCAGAAAUACCGCCCCAAGAUACGACCGGAAUUUCUUCUCCUACAGACACGAACGCGGAAGAGGUUGACGAAGCUUCUUUCAACACCCGGCAAUAAAAUGAUCAAAUAAAAUGAAUAAAAAAAAAUUAAAUCAAUUUAAUAAUUAAUUAGUAGCUCUCUCUGUGAGCUCUUUUGUCCUUUUCAUCCCCCAGUGUAAAGGUGAAGGACAACAUCUAUAUGUAUAAGGCGAGUACGAGAUGGACUCCAAUGUUCGGCUCCGGAAAGUACGCCUUCGAGUGCUUUCACGCCUAACGACGCGCACUAUGGCGCAUAACGUCCGCGCCACUCUCGGAUUCCAAACAGCUCUAAACAUCAAAACAAUAAAUAUAUAAAUAUAAAUAAAUAAAAUAUAUAUUAGAAAAUUUUGAGUUUUUCCAACAAUCCCCCACAAAAUUUAAAAUUUUCAAAAUAAGAAUUAAACUCGAAAACAAAUUAAAGAAUAGAUCACCGAGUGUUUAUACUAUGCAAUAGGCGAGAUGUCUUUAAGAGACUUAACUUCACUCAGUGUUAGCAGUUUCCAUCAGAAGGAAUCGGAGUGAACCAGGUCUUGAGCUACGUUCCUUUGACCUUGACUUCAACUACUGCACACACAGUACAUAAUUCUCCGUCGCGGGUCUGUGCGUUAAUGGCCAUACACAGUACCUUGAUUUUUCAUAAGAGCUUCUAUGGAUAGCCCAUAUCACAUAGCCGCGGCCACAUACAGAUACUCUUAUAUAGGUGGUUUUCUCCAGGGAUGUGUGUAGAGUCACAUCUCGCAAAAAUUAUCGCCUUGGAUUCCAUUAAAAGCUAUCAACUCAACCUAAUCCACUACACAGAGCACUACUCAUCAUAGGAAUGGGAUUGGAGCUAAAGCUCCUCUAUAUAAAUUGUAGAAAGUGCUCUUUGGCCAACCUAGCAGCUUGUUUUUACCACAUUGAACCUUCUUCAAGGGAUCUCCUAUCACAAAGGUUGGGUUCCCACUACAGGAAGGCCCAUUAUGGGCAAGUCCCAUCCCCCUCGAUGAUUCCAGGACCUUAGUCCUAUUCAGGCCUUUCGUUAAAUAAUCUGCAAAAUUCUGUUCAGAUUUGAUAAAACACAAAAUGAGAAUAACCAUCUAAUAAAUUUAUGUCACAAAAAAAAAAAUUUACCUGCCAAUCUUAGAAUUUACAAAAUUCAUUUCCAAGAUGAACACUUAGGAUAAAAUCACGAGAGUAAUUAUAAUAUCAAAAUUUAUGAAAUUGAUAAAACUGCAACCCCCCACAAGUUUUGAGAUAUAUCAAAACUUAAAAUUAUGAGGUUAAUCAUGUCUAAUGGAGUUUUGUUCAACAGCAAAUAGAUGACCCAAAUAGUUUUAAAAUUGAUUUCAAUUAGAUAUUUUCAAGAAAAUAAUGCUAGAAAAUAUUUAUGUUGCAAGCAUUGUAUAAAGAACAAUAAAACAAAAAAAACAGAACAGUUAAAUAUUAAAGUUGGCAUUGUAGGUUAGGGAGUGCCACUAAAGCGUUUGACCAAACUUACUCUGUGGGUUUCGAGUCCUCCUUGGAGCAGAAAUAUUUUUGAUACUCUGCCAUUUUCAGUAGUCAAGUAAAAUUUUCAUACUUAAUAUUGUACAUACAAAUAAUUAUAAGGUGCUUCAGAAACAACGUAUAAAGGCAAAUUAAUUUUGAAAAUUUAGAUGGAGAACUCGAAAAUUCAUUCUAUCAAAAGUGCGAAACAUAGUCAUGACAAGAGGACAGCAACUAUAGACCCUUGGCAAGUUCAUCAAGUUUAAUUGCCAGGAAUGAGUGUGUGAAACUCAUAAGAACUGGUGUUUGGUCAGCCACUGAAAAUGCCAGAAUGUGCAAACUGCAUACCAAAAGGACCCUGCAAGCUCAACCUCCUCGUACAAGUCUGUAAAAUCAGAGGGCGCAGAGACCUCAUGGUUCCGCAUAACCAAACAUGCAUCAAUAGCAAAAUGUUGGAGCCAUUAAGUGACAAAAGGGAUAAGAAAUACUCUAGAUAUUAAAAGGACACCAGUAACAUUACUUGGUACACACUGAGAGGAUUCCUACAGGUUUACAUUCUAAACAAAUAAUAAAUCUCAAAGCUGUAAAUGAUAAUAAUAUAUUAGACUACAAUUCAAAUCAAUAACCAUAAAAAUAAAUUCCAAGAAACAAGAAUCACAGAUCUAAUAAUCCAUUUAACUUCCAAGUAAUUCUCUCUGAAAUUAUCAGGAAAAUUUGGGAUAACACAUGCAGCAAAGCAGUUAAACAAGUAUCAUAAAGAAGGGAAUAGAUAGCAAACACAUUUGUACAAAAACUAAAGAGAUAAUUUACAAAAAUACUACUAUUUCAAAACUUAAAUACUUCGACCACAUAUGAACAAUUGCAGUAUCAUUUAAAUUCUUUAACUAACGAUACUAUUAACUUCUCAGUAAAAGAACUAUAAGAGAUAAAAAGUAAAUCUGAAGUUAAUUAUAGCUAAUAACAACAACAUAGAUGAUUAAACAACAAAAAAAAAAAAAACUGACAGUACAUGGUAUUGAAAAAAAAAAAAAAAAGGAGCACAUAAUAAUAUGAUUUUAGUGAUAUUUCAUAUUCGCUGCCUUUUUUGAGAUCUAUAUGACAAGCUAAUUAUACCACAUUUAUAAAUGGUAUAAGAUAAAGGCACAAAACAUUCAUUUACAGAGUACAUUUUUAAGUUCUGUAUGACAGAAUCUAUGCCUUUAACUUUAUAAUAAUGUGUGAAACUAUUACGCGUACGUAUGUGACUUUUUCAGCACAAUAGAUAUGUAGAAGCAGAUCAAGAAAUGGAUCUAGAACCUAAUUUUGCCAUCAUGAUUUAAGUUAACCAACAAAUUAUAAACAUAUAAAAUCAUUUUAAUACGGAUUAGCAUCCGUUAGUUUUUAAUCACAAUCAGAUUGGGAUCUAAGCCUUAGAUUGUUGGAACAAAUACCGCAACGAAAAUUUGAUUGUGAUUAAAAAUCUAACUAAUUUGUAAUAAAGAUAAAAUUGAACUUACAGAUAAACGCAAAUAUUCCAAUAAAAAUUUGAUCUUAUCCGGAAGCGUGCGAGGGACUGUCCUAAGGCUUAUUCCCGUCCUUCGUGCAGGAUUAACCGGAAAUACCGCCCCAAGAUACGAUCGGAAUUCCUCCUCCUACGGACACGAACGCGGAAGAGGUUGACGAAGCUUCUUUCAACACCCGGCAAUAAAAUGAUCAAAUA
rnacentral:lncRNA from 1 species